GAUGAACGCUGGCGGCGUGCCUAAUACAUGCAAGUCGAGCGAACGGACGAGAAGCUUGCUUCUCUGAUGUUAGCGGCGGACGGGUGAGUAACACGUGGAUAACCUACCUAUAAGACUGGGAUAACUUCGGGAAACCGGAGCUAAUACCGGAUAAUAUUUUGAACCGCAUGGUUCAAAAGUGAAAGACGGUCUUGCUGUCACUUAUAGAUGGAUCCGCGCUGCAUUAGCUAGUUGGUAAGGUAACGGCUUACCAAGGCAACGAUGCAUAGCCGACCUGAGAGGGUGAUCGGCCACACUGGAACUGAGACACGGUCCAGACUCCUACGGGAGGCAGCAGUAGGGAAUCUUCCGCAAUGGCGAAAGCCUGACGGAGCAACGCCGCGUGAGUGAUGAAGGUCUUCGGAUCGUAAAACUCUGUUAUUAGGGAAGAACAUAUGUGUAAGUAACUGUGCACAUCUUGACGGUACCUAAUCAGAAAGCCACGGCUAACUACGUGCCAGCAGCCGCGGUAAUACGUAGGUGGCAAGCGUUAUCCGGAAUUAUUGGGCGUAAAGCGCGCGUAGGCGGUUUUUUAAGUCUGAUGUGAAAGCCCACGGCUCAACCGUGGAGGGUCAUUGGAAACUGGAAAACUUGAGUGCAGAAGAGGAAAGUGGAAUUCCAUGUGUAGCGGUGAAAUGCGCAGAGAUAUGGAGGAACACCAGUGGCGAAGGCGACUUUCUGGUCUGUAACUGACGCUGAUGUGCGAAAGCGUGGGGAUCAAACAGGAUUAGAUACCCUGGUAGUCCACGCCGUAAACGAUGAGUGCUAAGUGUUAGGGGGUUUCCGCCCCUUAGUGCUGCAGCUAACGCAUUAAGCACUCCGCCUGGGGAGUACGACCGCAAGGUUGAAACUCAAAGGAAUUGACGGGGACCCGCACAAGCGGUGGAGCAUGUGGUUUAAUUCGAAGCAACGCGAAGAACCUUACCAAAUCUUGACAUCCUUUGACAACUCUAGAGAUAGAGCCUUCCCCUUCGGGGGACAAAGUGACAGGUGGUGCAUGGUUGUCGUCAGCUCGUGUCGUGAGAUGUUGGGUUAAGUCCCGCAACGAGCGCAACCCUUAAGCUUAGUUGCCAUCAUUAAGUUGGGCACUCUAAGUUGACUGCCGGUGACAAACCGGAGGAAGGUGGGGAUGACGUCAAAUCAUCAUGCCCCUUAUGAUUUGGGCUACACACGUGCUACAAUGGACAAUACAAAGGGCAGCGAAACCGCGAGGUCAAGCAAAUCCCAUAAAGUUGUUCUCAGUUCGGAUUGUAGUCUGCAACUCGACUACAUGAAGCUGAAAUCGCUAGUAAUCGUAGAUCAGCAUGCUACGGUGAAUACGUUCCCGGGUCU
rnacentral:rRNA from 1 species